AGGAUGAACGCUGGCGGCGUGCCUAAUACAUGCAAGUCGAACGAGCUCUUCGGAGCUAGUGGCGGACGGGUGAGUAACACGUUGGUACCUACCCCGAAGUGGGGAAUAACUGCCCGAAAGGGUGGCUAAUACCGCAUAAUACCGCAAGGUUAAAGCGAGUAAUCGCGCUUCGGGAGGGGCCUGCGUCCCAUUAGCUAGUUGGUAGGGUAAUGGCCUACCAAGGCGACGAUGGGUAGCUGGAUCGAGAGGUUGACCAGCCACACUGGGACUGAGAUACGGCCCAGACUCCUACGGGAGGCAGCAGUAAGGAAUCUUCCACAAUGGACGAAAGUCUGAUGGAGCAACGCCGCGUGCAGGAUGACGGUCUUCGGAUUGUAAACUGCUUUUAUAUGGGAAGAUUAUGACGGUACCAUAUGAAUAGGGACCGCUAACUACGUGCCAGCAGCCGC
rnacentral:rRNA from 1 species